UACGAAGGGGGCUAGCGUUGUUCGGAAUUACUGGGCGUAAAGCGCACGUAGGCGGAUCUUUAAGUCAGGGGUGAAAUCCUGGAGCUCAACUCCAGAACUGCCUUUGAUACUGGGGAUCUCGAGUCCGGAAGAGGUAAGUGGAACUCCUAGUGUAGAGGUGGAAUUCGUAGAUAUUAGGAAGAACACCAGUGGCGAAGGCGGCUUACUGGUCCGGUACUGACGCUGAGGUGCGAAAGCGUGGGGAGCAAACAGG
rnacentral:rRNA from 1 species